rnacentral:rRNA from 1 species
UACGUAGGAGGCGAGCGUUGUCCGGAGUUACUGGGCGUAAAGGGUGCGCAGGCGGCGUUCCGCGUGGCGAGAUGAAAUCUCCUGGCUUACCUGGGAGGGUGGUCGCCAGACGGGAGCGCUUGAGGGUCGGAGAGGGGCGUGGAAUUCCGGGUGGAGCGGUGAAAUGCGUAGAUAUCGCUUGGAACGCCAACGGUGAAAACAGGUUGCUGGGGGUGUGCUGACGCUGAGACACGAAAGCCAGGGGAGCGAACGGG